CAGGACGAACGCUGGCGGCGUGCCUAAUACAUGCAAGUCGAACGGCUUUUCUAUGGAAGCUUGCUUCCACUGAGAAGAUAGUGGCGAACGGGUGAGUAACACGUGGGUAACCUGCCCAUAAGAGGGGGGAUAACAUCCGGAAACGGGUGCUAAUACCGCAUAGUUUUCUUGGUCGCAUGAUCGGGAAAGGAAAGACGGCCUUUGUGCUGUCGCUUAUGGAUGGACCCGCGGCGUAUUAGUUAGUUGGUGAGGUAACGGCUCACCAAGACGAUGAUACGUAGCCGACCUGAGAGGGUGAUCGGCCACAUUGGGACUGAGACACGGCCCAAACUCCUACGGGAGGCAGCAGUAGGGAAUCUUCCGCAAUGGACGAAAGUCUGACGGAGCAACGCCGCGUGAGUGAAGAAAAGGUUUUCGGAUCGUAAAACUCUGUUGUCAGAGAAGAACAAGUUGGAGAGUAACUGCUCCAGCCUUGACGGUAUCUGACCAGAAAGCCACGGCUAACUACGUGCCAGCCGCAGC
rnacentral:rRNA from 1 species